UUGCAGCAAGAAUGCAAGACCAUUACUUUAAAUUGGCUAAUGGAAAGUAGAAAUAAGAAGAGCCCAGAAUCUCAAUUUACAUAAGAAGAUAAAUAUGUGCAUGUGUAACACAAACAAGCUUGGUUGACAGAGGAAAGCUUGGUUCCCAAAUACAUCAAAAUCUGAUUUUCCAAACAAGCUUGAGAUGCACAAAGACCCAAAUUCAAAAAACAAACAAGACUAGGAUCCCAAUUCACAAACACCCAAAUCAGAGAACUUGAAGCAUAGGAUCUGAAUUCAGAAAGAAAUUGAUGCUUGUAAUUGUUAUUUAGGAAAGACAAAAUUCAGAAAACAAACUACAUGACUCCAAACAAGCAUCUCAUUGCACAAACUUGUACCCGUUUCAAACAGGGUAAAGAUGGCACCCUCAACUCUAGCGGCCUUCACCAGCGAAAUACCAAACCUGCAAGUACUGAAAGAAAAUUUCGAACUUUUGAGAAUUUUCCGAGUAAAAACAAUCAGCACAAUUCAGAUUGUGCAAGCGACGAAUAUACACGAUUAGAAACAAAAAGGAAAGAGAAAGCAUCGAAAGGUGAAUACUCUUUCGUAAUCAGACCUAAUUGACCUCCUACAAAGAAAUAAACAGUCGAAAGCAACAAAAUUUGCCGAAACCAUGAAAUGUCCAAAAGCGGCAAAAGAAAAACCAUUGAGCUCCAUAUUUUUUGCAGACCCAAGUCCGAUUGUGUAGAAAAAAAAAAAUCAAAAAUCCUAAUAAACUUUGCAUACUCCUUUAUAAUACAUGAGCAAGAUAUGAUUUUGAAACAUGAAUUUCGCGAAAAUGUCACAAAACUCACCUUCGAGAGGAUCUGACGCAAAAACUCACUUCAUCAGCUGAAUAACUCGUCUUCGUUAUGUCGAAGGAGGCGGAUUUGCAGACCCCUACCCCUCCGAUUUGAAGUAAUUUGAGGGAUAAAAUUGUAAAGUUGAAAUCUAAUAUCAUUUCACUGUUCAAAUCGAUAUUAUUCAACUGGGGGUGAGCGGUGGUUGUAUUUUCUCUUCCGAACAGUGAUUUUGGAGCGGGCUUUGAUUUUGGUGCGGGCCUUCAUUAUUAUUUACAAAGCCUAUCAAACAGUGGGUUAGGGUGAGAAAUAUAAGUUAUCUCAUGUAAGAGUACCAAAUACUACACAUGCUCG
rnacentral:lncRNA from 1 species